CCUACGGGUAGCUGCAGUGGGGAAUAUUGGGCAAUGGGCGCAAGCCUGACCCAGCAACGCCGCGUGAAGGAAGAAGGCUUUCGGGUUGUAAAAUUCUUUUUACAGGGAAGAGCAGAAGACGGUAACUGUCUAUUAACCCAUGGCUAACUACGUGCCAGCAGCCGCGUUAAUACGUAGGUGGCAAGUGUUGUCCGGAUUUAUUGGGUGUAAAGGGCGUGUAGCCGGGCUGGCAAGUCAGAUGUGAAAUCCGGGGGCUCAACCCCCGAACUGCAUUUGAAACUGGUGGUCUUGAGUAUCGGAGAGGCAGGCGGAAUUCCUGGUGUAGCGGUGAAAUGCGUAGAUAUUAGGAGGAACACCAGUGGCGAAGGCGGCCUGCUGGACGACAACUGACGGUGAGGCGCGAAAGCGUGGGGAGCAAACAGGAUUAGAUACCCUUGUAGUC
rnacentral:rRNA from 1 species